GGGGAAUAUUGCACAAUGGAGGGAACUCUGAUGCAGCGACGCCGCGUGAGUGAAGAAGGUCUUCGGAUCGUAAAACUCUGUCCUUGGGGAAGAAAAGGACGGUAGCCAAGGAGGAAGCCCCGGCUAACUACGUGCCAGCAGCCGCGGUAAUACGUAGGGGGCGAGCGUUGUCCGGAUUUACUGGGCGUAAAGGGUGAGUAGGCGGUUAUAUAUGUCAGGUGUAAAAGGCUAUGGCUUAACCAUGGUUAGCACUUGAAACUGUAUGACUUGAGUGCAGGAGAGGUAAGCGGAAUUCCUAGUGUAGCGGUGAAAUGCGUAGAUAUUAGGAGGAACACCAGUGGCGAAGGCGGCUUACUGGACUGUAACUGACGCUGAGGCACGAAAGCGUGGGUAGCAAAC
rnacentral:rRNA from 1 species